UCUGUCUCUCUCAAUCUCUCUCGGAGGCUGAAGAUGUGAUUGGGCCAGCUGGUGACCUGUUGCUGGCCUCAUGCUUCCACAUGAAGAUGCCAGGCUGCAAAACGGAGAAGAAGGAAGCCCAUGCAGAGAUGGCUUCUGAGUGAGAGCUUAGGAGCAGCUGCCCGGGUGCCCGUAGGCGGUCAGAUUUCUAGAUGCACUUCCUGUUCUUGGGUUCCGCAAGACACCCUCUGGCUCUUUUGCAUACAUUUUAAGCAACUACUUCUGAAGUUGGGAAAUCAGGAGUAGCCGCUGACUCUAAAGAGAAACUAUAUCAAUUUGGAAUGUAUUUGCAUUAUCAGUGAGUUUACUGGAAGUAUUAAAGCUGGACCAUCACUUGGAGAUGUUGUAAGGAAAUGUGAACAUUUGGCGAACAGACCUUUAAAUAAAGAAGGAAGCCAUGGGAGUGGCUGAGAUCUCCCUGAGAGAAAGUGGAGAGAUGUUCAGAGGUAACUUCGUUUAGAAACUUUUAUUUAAAAAUCACAUUUAGAAACUAGAAGGUGUGGGGGGACCCAGUAAAGGAGACAGAAAGGGAUUUACCAGAGAGUUGCGGGAGCUACGAUUGUGGUGUCAAAGAACCAAAGGGAGGAGCAAAUGCAAGAUCUCAACCAAUAAGGAAGUGUAAGCGACGAAGGGCAGGCCUUGGGGUGGGUCGACUCAGCAGCUCCACCAUUUUACUGAGAGCCCAGGUGCUUUCUACCUCUCUGCUCUGCUGUGCUUGGCGUUGGCUUCACCUGAGGGUUGAAGGUUCUUUCCUUGGAUGAGAGAUAACUGUGAGUAACUGGCACAGUGGAAGGGAGAGAAAGGACACUUUCCCAGCCAUGGAAUCUGAGCUUCUGUCUUCAGUCUGAUUGGGCUAUUUUAGAUCCUGUGCUCACCCUAGCCCAAAAAGAUUCCCCGGAGAAAUGCCAUUUACUAAUACCCUUCGCCUAUCAGGAACCACCCCUGUGGACCCAGGAACAGGGUCUGUGUCCCUUGAAGCACGUGACAGCAGAGGACGGGAGGCUCCACCUGAACAUGACCAGGGGUCUCCUGGGGAGGAAAAAUGGAGAUGGAAGCUGCAGAGGAAACGAACAGCUGCCCCCACACAUGCCGUACAAGGCCUGCAUGGGAUGAUCUGAGAGUCACUUUGCCCGAGGUCACACGCCCCUCCUGGAAACAGCCAUCAUCCAAUGACUGGUCAAGAAAGGCCUGGCCCCCUUGCCUUGAGGCAGAACUGUGAAGGGCCAUCCCAGCUCCAGAGUCCUCUGUGGGUUCAGCUAAGUGAGGCUUUUUUUUUUUGCCAUUCAACUUCUCCUCCUGGCCAAUCCUACUUUCACUAACCUUAGGUUUU
rnacentral:lncRNA from 1 species